CUGUGCUUGUUUUUAUUGUGAAUCAUGGGAUUAUUUUUUUCUUUCCCUAUUUAGCUGUUGCUGACCAUUGGACAGUUCUCGAGAAUAAUUCUUUUUUUAAACUGAGUUUAUUAAGGGGAAGCAGGCAAACAAGGCUAAGUUAAUGUUCAGCUUCAGACAACGGGCACAUCUCGAGCUCGGGAGAAGGAGUCAUGUGGGCAAAACCCAAAUAUGCUUAAGUAAAUAAACAGAAGCAGCCGAUGGAGGAAGUCAGAGCCAGCACCGUGCAACUGAGCUUUGUUGUGGAUUGAGUUCCAGACCAAGUUCUACACUGGCACUGGGUUCAAGUUCCUCCCCUUCUCGUUCGAUGCCAUCCGCGAAGGGAAGUUUGACGACUAGAGAUCCCUCUGCUCCAGCAGUGUUAAGCAUCUGUGAUCUAUGGCUAGUACUGUCCCGUGUGUCUGAGUUGCAUGUACUCCUCCCCUAGUGAAAAUAACUUAUUGCAGCAGACUCGAGUGUUACCGCGGAAUUCCAAAGCCGAGAGCUUUGACGUUCUCGAGUAACGAGUGACACUGGAUCAAAGAAACUGCUCCUUCCUUAAGUUUACCACUGAAGAUACUAAGUGCAUGAAGUGUCAGUGUGGUGUGUAAUAGUGUCCUCCUCGUGUUGUGAGCUUCCUGGCAGGCUUAGCAGGGCAGCAUGAGAAAAAUGCAGCUACAGCUGAGUGGGCAUAAAAGCACACGGAGAAGAAAAGGCAACUGCAGCCUGCAUAAAGCUUGCUGCUCGGGAAAAGAGAUUUUUACAGGAAGCUUUACAUGUGGAUCUACGUGUCUCUGCCUCUGAUUAAAUUAUGAGCAACGGGCA